CUGUAACGCAUCACAAUUUGGUUGCUUAAAACAAUACAAAUUUAUCUUAUUUAUUUAUCUUAUUCUGGAGGUCAGAAGUUCAAGUGAGAUCUUCUUUGGCCACCAUUAAGGGGCAGGGUUGAGCUCCUCGGGGAGAUUCAGAGAGAAACGUCUGCUUCUGUGUUUUUUCCGGCUUCUCCACGCUGCCUGCGUUCCUGGGCUCGUGGCCCCACCUCCGUCCUCAGAGCUCAGAGGCGGGUCCGGUCUGUCUCCUGCUGCGUCCCUCUGGCUCUGACUCUCCUCCUUCCUUCUUGGAUUACAAGGACUCUUGCAAUUAAAUUGGGCCCAGUAGGGAUUUCCCUUGGUCCGUGGCUAGGACUCCACGCUCCCAACGCAGGGGAUCAGGGUUUGAUGCCUGGUCAGGGAACUAGACGCCACGUGCUGCAACUAAAGAUCCCGCACGCUGCAGCAAAGAUCGAAGAUCUCAUGUGCAGCAACUAAGACCUGGCACAGCCAAAUACAGAAAUAUUUAAAGUAAAUAAAUAAAAACAGGGCCCAGUAGAUAAUCCAGGACCAUCUCCCAGCUCAAGAUACAGAAAAGCACACGGUGCAAACACGUACCUGCGUGAUUCUGAUAAGGCAGCUGGACGUCCCUGUGACCAUCUCCAGGGGAAGAGCAGAACUCGGGCAGUUACCCCAGAAGCCCCCACAGGAGCCCUGUCCCACUCAGGGACAGCCCCUCCCUCCUUCCAGAAGGACCCUGACUUCUAGAGUCAACGUUUGUGUUUCUUUAUAGUUUUAU
ensembl:lncRNA